GCGGUACCGGUUCACGUCCGUAAGGGCGACCCGGCGACC
rnacentral:ncRNA from 1 species